rnacentral:rRNA from 1 species
UACGUAGGGUGCGAGCGUUGUCCGGAUUUAUUGGGCGUAAAGGGCUCGUAGGCGGCGUGUCGCGUCUGGAGUGAAAGACCGGGGCUUAACCCCGGUUCUGCUUCCGGUACGGGCAUGCUGGAGUGUGGCAGGGGAGACUGGAAUUCCUGGUGUAGCGGUGGAAUGCGCAGAUAUCAGGAGGAACACCGGUGGCGAAGGCGGGUCUCUGGGCCAUUACUGACGCUGAGGAGCGAAAGCGUGGGGAGCGAACAGG